rnacentral:rRNA from 2 species
GGUGAAACCGCAAAAGGCUCAUUAAAUCAGUUAUGGUUCCUUGGAUCUUAAACAGUUACUUGGAUAACUGUGGUAAUUCUAGAGCUAAUACAUGCAAACAAGUCCCGACCAGAGAUGGAAGGGACGCUUUUAUUAGAUCAAAACCGAUCGGCGUCCGGCUCCGGCCGGCGCCGUCUCUUUUGGUGACUCUGGAUAACUUUUAGCUGAUCGCACGGUCACAGUACCGGCGACGCAUCUUUCAAAUGUCUGACUUAUCAACUGUCGAUGGUAGGCUCUGCGCCUACCAUGGUUGUAACGGGUAACGGGGAAUCAGGGUUCGAUUCCGGAGAGGGAGCCUGAGAAACGGCUACCACAUCCAAGGAAGGCAGCAGGCGCGCAAAUUACCCACUCCCGGCACGGGGAGGUAGUGACGAAAAAUAACGAUACGGGACUCAUCCGAGGCCCCGUAAUCGGAAUGAGUACACUUUAAAUACUUUAACGAGUACCAAUUGGAGGGCAAGUCUGGUGCCAGCAGCCGCGGUAAUUCCAGCUCCAAUAGCGUAUAUUAAAGUUGUUGCGGUUAAAAAGCUCGUAGUUGGAUCUGUGUGCCACGCUGUCGGUUCGCCGCCCGUCGGUGUCAACUGGCAUGUCUGUGGGACGUCCUGCCGGUGGCGGUACGGGCUGUCGGCGCUGCGUAGGGGUUCGCCCCCGAAGCACGUCGGCGUGUCCCGGUCCGCCGAUUCAAUCCCGCCGCGGUGCUCUUCACUGAGUGUCGAGGUGGGCCGGCACGUUUACUUUGAACAAAUUAGAGUGCUCAAAUCAGGUCGUA